GAGUCUUCCCAGAUCUUGUCGGAAAGGCAUACGUUCAUUUCUUUAUCAAGAUGAGGGGAAUAUAUGUAGACGCCAAGACUUCUGAAGGACUUGUAAAGUAUCAUGGCAAGAUGUUUGAUGAAGUUUUCAAGAGGCUCACCUCAAUUUUUAAUAUGGAUGAACCUUUUUAACUUGUGACAACCUUUUAUGGCAAUUACAAGGCACCUUGUUUUAAGGAUUCUGGCAGUAUUUGGUUCUUGAAGUUGAUGGAUUCAAAUGUGCUAUCGGUUGCUUAAAUGGACAAGGAUGGACUGUCUAGACUGAUUUUAUGGAAUAGUUUAAUUAAACUUGGUAAUAUUUAUGCCCUAGGUCUCUCAUCUAAUAGUAUGAAAACUGUGGUAUCUUUCUACUACUGCUAGUUACUUGAACUACCAAAUAUUCAGAUAAAUACACUUGGCUUUACUAUAUCCAUUAAUGCAUUUGAAUGUUAAGUUUUGUG